AUUGCUAACGACCAUUAAGGUGCGCCAUACGCCCGGAUGCGUGGUGCUUAAAGGGGAAGCCGGUGAAAGUCCGGCGCUGUCCCGCAACGGUAAAUUUCCUUAGGAAAUAAGCCCGAGUACCUGCCUUAUUGCGGCUCUUUGU
rnacentral:ncRNA from 2 species